AUGAUAAAAACAAACCAUUGGACUGAAAAGCAAAAGCAAGAUGUAGCCUAAAAAUUAGUAGAUAACAUGUGGCCUUAGGCGGUUGCCUUUUUUCCAAAGGAGUAGGCAUGGCACUGCUUGCCCUAUUUCCAAUUAUCAAGGUAUAAAAGAAAACAAAAUUCGAUAACGGUUUGGUUUUAAUCUAUUUUGGUUUUGGAUUGUGAAAGUGGGAUUUGGUGAAUUGGUGGUUGCCUCCGAUGAAACUGUCACGUUUCUGUUGUUUUGCAGCUGUUGCAUCCGGAAAAACUGCUACAUCUAUGUAUCACAAAAUCAAAGAAGCUGAUCAAGGUUUUUACGAAGGGAAGCCUUAUAUAUAGGAUUGAAACAAAUGGAGCAAUGAGAGAUACAAUUUGGAGCCAUGAUGAAUCAUCACUGUCGAGGUAGAGAUGGAGAUAACACAAGCGUGAAUAGUUUGAUCUGCGAAUUAACGCAUCAACUGGGCGAGAUUCAGAUUGGUGUAAUCUUUCAUUCCAUAGUUUAUAAAUGGUUUGCAAGAGGAUUGUUUUCUUAA